rnacentral:rRNA from 1 species
GCACUAAUCCCCCCAGGGGAGCCUGGCACUUAAUUCGAUGAUCCACGAACCUCUUACCUUUCCUAGUGUCUAAUUCCCUUGAAAGAGGAGUUAGACAUACAGCUCGCAUACCGCCGUUUCGUAGCCUAUAUGGUGACAGGACAGAAAUAGGUGCCCCAGAAGCUUCGCCAACAUAUACGUGAACUCAUAUGUAGGAAGCCUCGCUAGUAAUUCAGGUAAACGUGUGGCCAAUGGAAAGGGGAUGCUGGGCUACAAUUGGGGUUUGUAAUGGAGUCGCUGACUUAAGGACAGGGCGAAAGAGGACUUGGAAGUAAUUGCCUUGGACAAUGAGGCAGUGAAUAGAGCUCUAGUGUGUGU